GUUUUAUCAAGGCAACAUUCAAUCAGAUAUAAGAUAAAACAACAUCCAAUGAGAUAGAAGAUGAAACAACAUCCAAUGAGAUAUAACAUUUGAACAACAUUCAAUGAGAUAUAACAUUUAAACAACAUUCAAUGAGAUAUAACAUCAAACAACAUCCAAUGAGAUAUAAGAUAAAACAACAUCCAAUGAGAUAGAAGAUGAAACAACAAAGUGUUUAGGUGCUUAAUAGUCAAACAACAUUCAAUCUAUAAUAGAUUCCCAUUACACAUGUAAACUUAAUUUGUUUAUUUAACUCUCCAAGGCGUCUUCUCUUCCUAAACCUUCUCUGACUGCAAUUUGUCUCUAUUCUUCCAGGAAAAUGAAACCAUGUACAGUUCAUUUAGCCUCCAGCUGGCUGAGUCUCAGGAUCCGACUACAGUAGCUAUUUUAUCCUGGCACCCAGAGCUUUCUCUUUCUAUGAGCAUGUGACCAGCAGCCAGUGCCAUUUAUCAAGUGGUUUAGGCUGAAUCUUCCUGACUGUUAGUUUAUCAGGCUGACUGGCUCUGUGGAUGUUACUGUGUGGACUGUGCUGGGUGGUGGGCAUGAUUCACUGGGCUGAGACUAUUGGACGAAGAAAGGUCCUAUCUGGCCUACUGCAGAUCUCUCUCCUCUCUGGCCUACUGCAGGUCUCUCUCCUCUCUGGCCUACUGCAGGUCUCUCUCCUCUCUGGCCUACUGCAGGUCUCUCUCCUCUCUGGCCUACUGCAGGUCUCUCUCCUCUCUGGCCUACUGCAGAUCUCUCUCCUCUCUGGCCUACUGCAGGUCUCUCUCCUCUCUGGCCUACUGCAGGUCUCUCUCCUCUCUGGCCUACUGCAGGUCUCUCUCCUCUCUGGCCUACUGCAGGGCUCUCUCCUCUCUGGCCGAGUCAUACUCUUCUCUGACCCAGCUCAGUGCACGCCUGGUCGAUGGACUUUAUUUAUCUCAUUACAACGAAUCAUAAUUCCUGUCAGAGGCGCUGAUCCUAGUCCAUGGGCUCCAAAACCUCUGCUCUCCCCUCAGAAAUCCCUAUCCUCCUCCAUCCCUCCUCCCUCCAAACCCCUGCCCUCCUCACUCUAAACGCCUGCACUCCUCCCUCCAAACCUCUGCCUUCCUCCAUUCCAUCUCACUCCAAACCUCUGCUCUUAUCCCUCCUCCCUCCAAAACUCUGCUCUCAUCCAUCCCACCUCCAAACCCCUGCUCUCCUCCCUCCAAGCUCCUACCCUACUCCCUACCUCCUCCCUCCAAACCCCUGCCCUCCUCCCUCCAAGCUCCUACCC
ensembl:lncRNA